GGAAGGAAGGAAGGAAGGAAGGAAAGAAGGAGGGAAAGAGCGAGCUCAAUUCUGGACAGCCCCAUGCCCACCUGCAUGACAGAGCACUCUCAAUGGCCAGGCAGUGUCCUGGGGCCUUCACCUGACCUUCCCAUGUUGUCACGAUUCUACAGGGGACUGUGCAGAGGCUAACUUCAGCACAGUAUCUGUCGCUGGCGGACAGUGGAGCAGGGAUAUUUGGGAAGAAGCUUUCUGAGUCCCAACCGUCCACCCCUGGACCAUCACUUUAUGCUGCCAUUGCUGGAGAGCUUUAAGUGAGGACAGUGCUGAGUGUCUGAGAGUGUCAAAGCCCCUGCCCCGCUCCUGCAGGGGUGGAAGCGCUGGCUGGGCCCCAGCGUCUCCUGACAGCUACUCUGGGCCCCCUCCUGGCCUGCCUGGAUCCCAUUUCUUAGAACAAAGGCCAAGAGCCAUCAUUGCAAGCCCUGGGUUAAUGACAGGAGCCCCAAGAAGGAUGGUGCCAUGGGGAUUCCACAGCCUUGGAGGUCAUGCUCACGCUAAGGGGCUUGGACUUGGUCCUUUGGGCAAUGGUGAGGGGACAUCAAACCUCUAAGCAUGGAAAAAAAAAAGAUACAUUUCCAGUAAAAUUUUAAUUGUUUAUGUUAAAAAGAA